UUUAUUUUCAAUGAUAAAAAUUAUUCUAAUUUCACUAUAUAAAAAUGCUCAUGGAUAAUUUCCACAACUUCUAAUGGACCUAUGGAAUGGUGAUGCUAUAGUUUAUUUCACGAAAAAACAGCUAGAACUUUUAAGGCUCCAUUCAGCAACUUUAUAUACUAAGUAAAUCCUUAUAAGUUAAAAGCGAUAAAAGGAUUUUACAUAAAAACACUUUGCUUCAUUUAUUUACUGGAGAAAUACUUCCCGUUAAUGCAAAUCGGCAAACACCGUAUUUGCAUAUUGCACAGUUUAAUAGAGCACGAUAUUAAAAUGUUGGU